UACGGAGGUGGCAAGCGUUGUUCGGAAUUACUGGGCGUAAAGGGCGCGUAGGCGGCCUGACAAGUCAGAUGUGAAAGCCCCGGGCUCAACUCGGGAAUUGCAUCUGAAACUGUUGGGCUUGAGUUCUGGAGGGGAUGGUGGAAUUCCCAGUGUAGCGGUGAAAUGCGUAGAUAUUGGGAGGAACACCUGCGGCGAAGGCGGCCAUCUGGACAGUGACUGACGCUGAUGCGCGAAAGCUAGGGUAGCAAACGGG
rnacentral:rRNA from 1 species